rnacentral:ncRNA from 1 species
GGGCCGGGACGACCCGCCCCUUUUCCCCUCACCUCCGGGACGGCCCGG